AAAAGAAUUUGUUUAUUUGUUUUACCUGCAGUGAAAUGUAGGUAUGAACUGAGGGGCAAGUAAAACUUGUCCUGGUGUCAAGCCAGGACAACGAUAGGAUAAACUUUGCUAAUGCCAGUAGAUGGAAAAUGGCUGCAGAAUGUAGAUUAAGGGAAAAAAAUAUAUAUUUCAGGAUCUGGAGAUCUGGAAUAGGCAUCACCUUUGCUCACAUUUUCUGCACUGUUCUGGGAAAAAAUGUCUUUAGCACUGAUGGCCAUGUUCAGACUUUCUGCUAUAGGUACAUAACUCAAACAUAUCAACCACCCCAGCAUAUGAUUUCAAGGCACAGAUGAACAAUUCAGGCUCCCCAUCAUUACCCAGGGCUGUUGCAACAUGCCUUCCUAAAGACUCAAGGAAGAACAGAAAUUCUAUAGAAUUCUACAACUAGAAUUUCCCAGCUAUCAAGCACUGAUGUGAAAGUGUCAGUCAAGAAUGGUAAACUGGUAAAGGAUAAUGGAGAAGUAAGGGUCUGCCUGGGAUCCAGCUUGAUACCCACAAUGAAAUCGUGAGAUGCCCCAAGAACCACCCAAUUGUGACCUGCUUUUGAUGUACUCUUCUACUCUCCUCAAUCCUCUGUGAGCUGUAACAUGUCAGGACAUUACAUUUUUUUUCAGUGCUUGCUUCCAAGAUCAGUAAAGCUGGGACAUCUCUUGUGAUCUGCUUCACAGAACAUCAGAUUCUUCCCUCUUCUGCUCACCUGGACAUAAUGCUCUUAUAGCUAGCAAAAGGAAUGAAAAUUAAGUGGAUUUAAAGAAGGAUGAGCUACACACAAGUAGACAUAACUUCAGGAGAAAAAAGGAAAAGACUAAAAGUUAUGAUGAAAACAGUACAAUGACAGUUUGCCAUCUAAGAGAAAGCAAAAGGGUAUCCAUCUGUGUCAUGGAAAUGGAAGAACUUCCCUCAGCUCCUCCUAUACCCUUCCUGGAGUACAGCUGUCUGGGCCAGGAAGAAUUUUGAUAAAGCAGCUGUCUGGUUUUGAAGUUUUGAGAGAGAUGUUUGAGAAGAUUUUGUGGGGGCCUGCCAUGACCCACUGACAUUUCCUUUGUAUCUAGAACCUUACAGGCUUAGAGGAUAUACAUCCCCCUUCUCCAAUAAAAUGAAAUAAAUGUUUAAUUAAUGUUUCA
rnacentral:lncRNA from 1 species